UAAAUGCACACACCAGGCACAACUUCUGUAAUUUUAUGUCCAAUAUCAAUGCUGCACUGCUACUUGCUUUUACUUGUGCACAACCUGCCCUGGGUUUAGUGCACUGCUCACACGCAAGUUAAGCAUUCACUGAACUGCUUUCCAUCACUAUAAAGUUGUAGAGGCAAGUGCACUUCAAAUUCACACUAUAAACUGACAUGACCAUCCUCAGCACUCCUCCCAUAUAUUAACAACAAUUCAUAUCUCCUCCAACAGGUGACACAAGAUAUGGAUUUAAUGCCUGGCUGCUCACAUGUCACAUAGCAUCUUUGUCUUACUGAGCAAGCCUACAAUGAGACCCACCUGAGGACCUGGUCCGUAAUAAAUGGUACAUUUAGAUCACUCUUGUGUGACCGUGCUAUACUCUCCUCAAAAGGUCGCUGGUAUUGUCAUUGACUGCUGUUGCCAACAUAAUCUGGUGCAUCAGGGGAGUCAUGCAGAAUCAUACAUGAAGACUUCUAAGAUGCAGUUUCUACUUACGUGGAGGAGAAAUGGGCCCAGGUCGUCUCUCAGAGGAUGUCACUUGUGGGAUACGGAAGUCUGUUAAAGAUGGAUGAAAAGUACACAUACGUUUUUAAGAACUUGGCUGAGAUGUGCCUGGAGCCGAUCCAACGUCAGAUGACGUUGAUGGACCUUGAAG